UCGGAUCAGACUGUCCCUUCUUACCAAUAAAACUGUGCAGACGAUUGUUUAUCACUCUACACUGAACCCUCCCGAAGGUAUGAGCACCUGCAUGUACAUUAUUAUGAUCCUUAAUUAAGAUAUAUCGUAACAAAGUAUACUACUCAAGUAUUUGAUCUUUAUACUCUAAAAUUACAAUCACAUUUCUGAGGUGUCCAAUAUGAAAAAUACAUAUAUAGUAAAACUCGGAAGUACAUUACCAGAUAAAGCGACGAGAUCUGUAGUGUCAAGAUUAUGUACGGAGAAUUUGGAAGUAAGAAUAUGGAGGGAAUCAGAUCCUAGUGGAAGUGUAGCCACCGCGUCCGCACUGAUAGC
rnacentral:lncRNA from 1 species